CGGAUCGGAGUCUGCAACCCGACUCCGUGAAGCUGGAUUCGCUAGUAAUCGCGCAUCAGCCAUGGCGCGGUGAAUACGUUCCCGGGCCUUGUACACACCGCCCGUCAAGCCAUGGAANCCGGGGGCGCUUGAAGUGCGUUGCCGCAAGGCGCGCCCUAGAGCGAAACCGGUGACUGGGGCUAAGUCGUAACAAGGUAAC
rnacentral:rRNA from 1 species